AGAGUUUGAUCAUGGCUCAGGAUAAACGCUGGCGGCGUGCCUUACGCAUGCAAGUCGAACGAAGCCCCCGCCUUCGGGUGGGGAGACUGAGUGGCAAACGGCUGAGUAACGCGUAGGUGACCUGUCCCGAGGUGCGGAACAAUCCGUCGAAAGGCGGCCUAAUACCGCAUGAGCCCACCGGUUCGGCCUGGUGGGGAAAGCUCCGGCGCCUUGGGAGGGGCCUGCGUUCGAUUAGCUAGUUGGUGGGGUAACGGCUCACCAAGGCGACGAUCGAUAGCUGGUCUGAGAGGAUGAUCAGCCAGACUGGGACUGAGAAACGGCCCAGACUCCUACGGGAGGCAGCAGCGAGGAAUCUUGCGCAAUGGGCGAAAGCCUGACGCAGCAACGCCGCGUGAGUGAAGA
rnacentral:rRNA from 1 species